rnacentral:rRNA from 1 species
UGGGGAAUUUUGGACAAUGGGCGAAAGCCUGAUCCAGCCAUGCCGCGUGAGUGAAGAAGGCCUUCGGGUUGUAAAGCUCUUUUAGUCGGAAAGAAAAGAUCAUAAUGAACAAUUAUGAUUCAUGACGGUACCGACAGAAAAAGCACCGGCUAACUACGUGCCAGCAGCCGCGGUAAUACGUAGGGUGCGAGCGUUAAUCGGAAUUACUGGGCGUAAAGGGUGCGCAGGCGGUUUUGUAAGUCAGAUGUGAAAUCCCCGGGCUUAACCUGGGAAUUGCGUUUGAAACUGCAAGACUAGAGUGCAGCAGAGGGGAGUGGAAUUCCAUAUGUAGCAGUGAAAUGCGUAGAGAUGUGGAAGAACACCGAUGGCGAAGGCAGCUCCCUGGGUUGACACUGACGCUCAUGCACGAAAGCGUGGGGAGCAAACA